rnacentral:lncRNA from 1 species
AUGGAGCUAAACCAUCGAUCUUCAGCUUUCCCCCUCAUCUACAAAGACCUGUGGCAACCAGGAAAACAGGCCUCGAGGAAAGCUGAGGAGAGCUGGUCAGUGGACUGUUCUCAGAUUUUCCAAGAGAUCGAACCUCCUCUGCCUAAUGUUGACCACCCCUAUGCAUUGCCUGCAUCUCCCACUGGUCUAAAGACCAGACUCUGUGAAGCCUUGGCUAGAGUGGAGAGUCUAGAGCACGAGUUGAGGAAUGUAAAGGACCGGGAACGGAGGGCAAAGAAGACUGUGUGAUCUUCUAGAGGAUCUGCAGGGAAAGAACCUCAUAAAUGAAGAUCUGAAAGAGAGACUCAGUUUCUACUCUGGUAAAAUGAAAAUAACAUCUUU